rnacentral:rRNA from 1 species
AAGCAAGACCGUGAGGUGGAGCAAAACUCAAAAACUUGUCUCAGUUCGGAUUGUAGGCUGAAACUCGCCUACAUGAAGCUGGAGUUGCUAGUAAUCGCGAAUCAGCAUGUCGCGGUGAAUACGUUUCCCCGGGGCCCUUGUACACACCGCCCGUCACACCAUGAGAGUUGGCAAUACCCAACGUACGUGAUCUAACCCGCAAGGGAGGAAGCGUCCUAAGGUAGGGUCAGCGAUUGGGGUGAAGUCGUAACAAGGUAUC